CCUACGGGAGACAGCAGUAGGGAAUAUUGCUCAAUGGGGGAAACACUGAAGCAGCAACGCAGCGUGGAGGAUGAAGGUUUUCUGAUUGUAAACUCCUUUUGUUAGAGAAGAUAAUGACGGUAUCUAACGAAUAAGUAAGGGAUAACUUCGUGAAAGCAGCCCCGGUAAUACGGAAGGUGCAAGCGUUACUCGGAAUCACUGGGCGUAAAGCGCGCGUAGGCGGGAUAGCAAGUGAGAUGUGAAAUCCUAUGGCUUAACAAUAGAACUGCAUUGGAAACUGUUUUUCUAGAGUAUGGGGGAGGUAGGUGGAAUUCUUGGUGUAGCGGUAAAAUCCUUAGAGAUCAAGAGGAAUACUGAUUGCGAAGGCGACCUGCUAGAACAUUACGGACGCUGAUGCGCGAAAGCGUGGGGAUCGAACAGGAUUAGAUACCCUUGUAGUC
rnacentral:rRNA from 1 species